ensembl:lncRNA
AGAGUAGGCCUCGUCCAGGCCCAUCACUGGGCUCGAACCUGGACCCUUCUGCACAACACUCACAAAGCAGCGUUUACCCGUCACAAAUAACUACUUCAAGGACUGCUGCUACAGAGACAGAUGUACGGAGCCAGAAUACGCUUCUGCCACCAUGGAGCGGCCAUGCCAGAGACAGAGCAAGGCAGCACCAACCACAACAAGUCAAAUCCCACCCAGUCAACCAUUAGAAAUGCUUUGGAUAAUAUAUUCCAUUUGGUAGAUGCUAUUAUGAAAUGCUCCGGUGACUGUCUGCAGGAUCUUUAGGUAUAGUGGGAUGUUGUCACACUACAUUGACCAGGCGCAUAGACUCGGCCUGAAAGCUGGCAUUGGGAACUACGAUACGCUACUCCCGAGACUAAUUCUACUUAGCUUAGCUGUUUGUAGCCGGAGCAUCAAGAGAGCGGGUAUACUACUGCAGCAGUGUUUACGCCAGGCCUGGUACUGGUCCUCCUUUCCAAACUGCUACUACAGGAACACACCUAAAGCACUCGCAAGGUCCUUCCUCUUUCUCUGAACAACAUCCUGUUAACCGUUCAUACAGAUGUGAUUGUACUGUGGUAUAUAUAUAUAUAUAUAUAUUUUUUUUUUACCGUGAACAAUGUUUUGUAGUCUGUUAAUGAAGUGCUUAUGCUGAUCAUGUACCAGGUAGCACUUCUGAUAUAUUUUUAACAUUUUCUUGUUUUUAGUAACGAAGAGACUUAUAUGGACAGCAUCAGUAUUCAUUGAUGGUAAUAACAGUAAUGAGGUAUGUGAAGAAAUGUGACAACUUAGCUGUGAUUUAAAAGCUGUUUGGAAUCAAACUGAAGAUACGGGGGAGCUUCUAUUGGCUGAAGUGGUUCCCGCUGAAUGUACUCAGACCCCUUUAUUCCACGUGAUGUGUUAAAGCCUGAAAUAUAUUUAAUACAUUUUGAAUGCUGUCACCCAUCUACACACAAUACAAAAGUAGCGAAUUUUACAGAAAUAUUCAACCCCCUGAGUCAUUACAUGUUAGAAUCACUUUUUGGAAGCGAUUACAACUGUGAGUCUCUUAAGAGCUUUGCACAUCAUUUUUUAUAUAUUUUUAUUUAUUUUUUAACAUUCUUUAAGCUCUGUCAAGUUGGUUGUUCAUCAUUGCUAGACAGCCAUGUUCAAGUCUUGCCAUGGAUUUUAAGUCCAAACUAACUCAGCCAUUCAGGAACAUUCAAUGUCGUCUUGGUAAGCAACUGUAGUGUAUAUUUGGCCUUGUGUUUUAGGUUAUUGUCCUGCUGAAAGGUGAAUGUGUCUCCCAGAAAGUAGACGGAACCAGGUUUUCCUCUAGGAUUUUGUCUGUGUUUAGCUAUAUCCUGUUUCUUUUUAUUCUAAAAAAAACUGCCUAGUCCUUGCCAAUGACAAACAUACCCAUAACAUGAUGCAGCCACCACCAGGCUUGAAAAUAUGAAGCGUGGUACUUGAUGUUGUUUGCUCCAAACAUAACGCUUUGUUUUCAGGACAAAGUUAAUUUCUUUGCCACGUUUUGCUUUAGUGCCUUAUUGCAAACAGGAUGCAUGUUUUGGAAUAUGUUUUAUUCUGUACAGGCUUCCUUUUCACGCUGUCAUUUAGGUUAGUAGAGUAACUACAAUGUUGUUGAUCCAUCCUCAGUUCUCUAUCAUAGUGAAAUCCCUGAAUGGUUUCCUUCCUCACCGGUAGCUAAGUUAGGAAGGACACCUGUAUCUUUGCAGUGACUUGUGUAUUGAUACACCAUCCAAAGUGUAAUUAAUAACUUCAACAUGCUCAAAGGGAUAUUCAAAGUUGUUUUUUUUACCCAUGUACUAGGUUCCCUUCUUUACGAGACAUUGGAAAACCUCCCUGGUCUGUGUGGUUCGACCUGUUUUGAAAUUCACUGCCCGACUGAGGGACCUUGCAUGUGUGGAGUAGUCAUUAAAAAAAAAUCUAACACAAAUAUUGCACACAGAGUCCGUGCAACUUAUGACAUGUUAAGCAAAUUUGUACUCCUGAACUUAUUUAGGCUUUCCCUAACAAAGGGGUUGAAUACUUAUUGACUCAAGACAUUUCCGCUUUUCAUGUUUUGUAGAAAUUUUCAAAAACAUAAUUCAAUAUUGUGAGGGUGACACAAUCUCAAUUGUAUUCAUUUUAAAUUCAGGCUGUAACACAAACAAAAUGUGUAAAUAGUCAAAGGGGUGUGGAUACAUUGUAUCGAUCUUUCCUUAUGAAUCUAGCCCUAAUUAGACUUUGUUUGAAGAAAAAUAAGAGAAAUAAAAAAAGGUUUUCACGAGUUUCCCCAAUAGUGGAAACAAGUAUUUAAGAAUCUCUUUGAAUGUGUACUCUCCUUUUAAACUUGGCUAUUCAUAUGUUGUUGUCGUCAUUGACAACCGUACUGUAGCUCUUUUGUCGUCGUUUUAUGCAUUGAUUGACCUGUGAACGCAUUACAUUUAGAUCUAACUAUCAGUAGGAAUAUGUAUAAUCAUAUGCUGUUCAGCGAGUUGAACCUGCAGAUCUGUUGUUCUGGAGUACAGGCUAACGAAACAAUGCUCAUAUGAAGUGCUAGUUGACUGUGUUGUCUUUUUUUUUCUUGAUCUGUUAAGACUGCUGGGACCUUGUUAAAGUUACAGCUACAGGUGACAUAGACCCUGUCUGCCUUAGAGGAUAAAGCUACAGGUGACAUAGACCCU